rnacentral:rRNA from 1 species
UACGUAGGGGGCAAGCGUUGUUCGGAUUUACUGGGUGUAAAGGGCGCGCAGGUGUGUCUUCAAGUCAGAGGUGAAAUCUCCCGGCUUAACUGGGAAACUGCCUUUGAUACUGUUGAUCUUGAGUACGGAAUAGAGAGACGGAAUUCCAGGUGUAGUGGUGAAAUACGUAGAUAUCUGGAAGAACACCAGUGGCGAAGGCGGUCUCUUGGUCCUUUACUGACACUAAGGCGCGAAAGCGUGGGGAUCAAACAGG